AUAUAAGGAAGAAAUCAUUUACUUCAGGGUGGUAAGGCACUAGAACAAGUUGCCCAGAGAAGCUAUGGAUGCCCCAUCCCUGUCAGUGUUCAAGUUUAGAUUGGAAGGGGCUCUGAGCAACCUGAUCUAGUGAAAGAUGUCCCUGGCCAUUGCAAGGAGUUUGGAACUAGAUGAUCUUUAAGGUCCCUUCCAAUACAAACUGCUCUAUGACGUGCUUAUUUUGUCAUCCUUAAGCACCAGCUUUGCCAUGACCUCCAGCUCUGCCCUCCUGAACUCCUCAGCAUCUCACAGGAAAUGGAGUUCCAGUUGCUGCCUUACUUACAAAAGCCUCAUGAUAAGAGCCUCUUCUGUAGAUGACCUAAAGGAUUUUCGACUGCUGUAGCAACCAAUUUCUUCUACAAAAGAACUGCCUUUUUCACACAGUGCUUUCUGAGUAACAAUCCUGCUGAAAAGCUGAAGUGAUCAUAAAAUGGGUUAUAAGUUUCAAGCACUGGAAUGCCUAAAAUGUUUUUGGCAGAUUGAAAGGUAACAUUGCCAUGAGAGAAAGAAUAUGAAAUGGAAGUGUAGAGGUAGCCACUGGAAGUGGACCCUGAUGUUCUGAGGGACAGCCACCUUGCAGACACACACAGCUUCAGGAAGCACCAUUGUUCAUUUUAUUUUUCUUUACAGACUAAAUGCCAUCUGGAAAAAAGUAAAAACUAACUCUGAGAAUCAGGAAGACACAGCAUCAGCUGAGCCACAGAGCUAGAGAAAGAAGAUCUUGUCAUCUUCAGAGACUCCUGAGUCAGCUUCCAUUACACAAUUCAUUAAAAUUACACUGUUAUAGCAGUGGAUCAUGGAGUACCAACACAUCUCCAUGACAUUUUUCUCCGAGUAGGGUUUUACUCAUUUACACUCACUCUCCUUAUGUCCUUCCCACCCCAGGGAGUGCUGCUUCCACCUUGACAGGGGAAAAAGCCUGAAAACUAAAGACACUUCAAAUUAGUGGAAAUGUAUAAGACAUUACAAAUUGGUUACAGUCCUUUCACCCUUCUCUCUCAGCAGUUUAAAUUGCCUUUUACCUCCUAUGAACACUGGUGCAUGUAAAACUGCCACCUUCAAAACAGCAUUCCUUUUAAGGAGGCGAUGCAAAUGCCUUUCCCUCAUACUAUGUACCUGUAGCUGACAGAAGCCUCCAAGGGUCAACUUACAAAACCAUAAAAAUAUCAUGUUUGCCUCUCAGCUCUUGACAUCACUUUUGCCAUUUUUCUAUCAAAAUACAGCAUUUUGGUAUAAUUCAGAGAAACUACAAGCCACUCUAUUGACAAUGCAACCUACAUUUUAGUGUUUUAAAGAACUACUUCUCUGCCAUCCUGAAGUUAUUUAGGGAGCAGAUAAAAGCCAGUUAAUUCCUGUGAUUCGUACAGCCAGCACUGGCUCAGGAUAAAAGGGAAUGCUGAUGCCACCACUGGGAAAAGCCACAUUGUGAAAGCCUUCCCAAAGCAUCACAGGCCCACAACCAUCAUGUCUUCUCAGAAAUGGCUAUGUUUUGCCCUUACAAUAGCUCCAUUACAAUACAUUAGCUGAUGUGUAUAUGCUGAAUUAGUCAGCAACUGACUGGCAGGAUAAAGGAGUUGUAAAUUUCCCAGUGAGGGCAGACAGACACUUCUGGAAGGACAGAGUUUGUGAGUUCUGUGCAUGCAGUGGUGAAGGCAUCUCUGUCAUCUUCCUACUUCACAGCCACUCCAUGCUGGCAGCCCUAGGUGCAUGGCACAAUCCUCUCCUGUCAGCCUAUACUGUUCUGCAGAGUCUGGCAUUUCCCAAACUGCUCCUGAAACUGUCUCUGGCUUGUGUUUCUCCCCGACUUCUACUUUCUGCAGAUUAAAUUUCAUAGUGAAUACACCUGUGUAAGUAUAGCUGUCCUGUUGUAAUGUCUUCAAGGCAUCCACAGAACAUUCAAAUACAAACAGCAAAAUGUAAAGGGCUGGCUUGCCCAACAUUGUCUUGGAGGAUUUGGAAAUGUCACUUCAAAAGAGACAUAGAGUGCAGCUGGGAAGGAGAAACCUUACAAUUGCAGUAGUUUGACACCUACUCUCAAACCCUCCCUACCACAAACACAGGACAGGAGAGUUUUAGCUACCUCCUGCUACAUAUUCCAACCAGAUGUAAUCCUUUUAUGCAUGAGGCUUGAAUAAACAGUACAAAGAAGGAUAAACAUCUAUUGCAGAGCAUGCAAUAUAAAGGUAAUUCAUCACAUGGAAGCAUUAAUUCAUAAUAAACUCAAAUCUGGGUGUUCGUUUGAAUGGCUUUACAUGGAAACAACUACUCUGAAACAUUCACAUCAGUGCAUCUGGCUUUAGAGCAAAUCUUCCCUUUGGACAAGCCAACGCUUUUGUUUAGUUGGAUGAGAAGCAAUAAGCUUGUCAGAACAAGCUAAUGAGAGUAACAUUUGCUGGUUCACAUCUGAAGAACCAAUCAGUACAGUUACUUGUGUUUUGGGCACAGCUGUUCCACAUCUCCAUUCAUACCCUCGCAUUCCAUAAAGCAACUUGUUAAGGAACAGCUGACCUGAAAUUCAUCACGGCUGACUUCUUUUUCUAGAGAACAGAGUGAGAUGAUGACACAACAUUUCAAACAGAUGACACAUCAAGCCUUGAAAUUUCAAAAAAGGGCCUACACUUGCUGACUCUGAGAGCUAUUCAGCAUGGUUAACACAAAAAGAAAAUUAAGUUUAUACAACAAAUAAGGAUCUCAGCACUCAGAACAUCUGAACUGUCAAGGCCAAACCUUUCUAAACCAUAUCAGUCAACUUUCUGCUAAGAAUAAGCAAGGAUAUGACACUGCAUGCUUUGAGAGAUAUGAUGGAUUUAAAAGAGAACAAUGUCCAUAAUUGUUAUUGAUUUUAACAAUAACAAGUAAUAUCUCUGUACAGCUUUCAGCUCUUACAGGCCUUUGGAAAGGUGGGCGGGCAUUUCUGAAAUGUUACUGAAGAUUGGUAAUUAAAAUCUGGAGAAAUUGGAAUUAGCCUUCAAUAUAUUAGCUCAAGAACAAGCAGCACCACAACAGCCCAGAAAAGAAGAUAAAUGAGUUAAUAUUAAACGUGUGCUCUCACAGAUUCAGAGCUAAUUUGAAGUAUGAUCCAGUUAUCUCUGUACUACAUGGCAGAAACACCUCAAAAGAUAGAAGAUACAUAUCUAACAACACCCCUCAAGACAGAGAGGAACUGUCUUCUAAUAUCCUUACUCUGAGCUCCCAGAAUGGGCUAGCUGAUCAGAUGUAACUAAUUAAAUGCCCUGACAGAAAGCUUAUCUCCAGUGAUGGCACUUGUAAAACUCUUACAGAUCACUUGGUCCAACAUUUUGUCCCUUUGUUCACCAUUAUGUGUUUAAAACCUAAAACACUAGCAGUUCAUCAAUCAGGGCCUGACACAAAGUGGGUACAGCCUCCAGAUUCAUAUACUGAACUGGGAGUGUAAUGGAGUACCUUCAAAUUAAAAUGUGUGCAUGACUGUUUUUUUUAGAAAAAGCAGUUUUCAAGGUUCACAGUUGCUAAGCAGUAUCAUAGUUAAUCGCUUAAUAUGCUUGGUUUUUUCUCUGUGAUGUUGAUGAAGAAAGAAUAACUUUAAUAGUAAGUCCACCAAAAUUAAUUUAUCCAGUAUAAGAAACUGUAUAAACUACAUCCAGAAACAUUUGAAAAGUGGCAUUUUCAGCUGCUGUGAGAUGAUGAUGAUGACAGGCACUGUCACUGAGCUCCCUUUUACACUUGCAUUUAGCUCUGAGGAUGCAGAGUAGGAAUAGUGGUUCCCUGACAUACACAGAGUCAAAUGGGAGUGACAGAAUCCUCAUUCAUUUCACAAUGAUGGUGAGGAGGGUCAAUAUUGAUUAAAUUCAUGUUAGCACUUAAAAUGCAACAUGCUGCCUAAAAUCCUGGAGGGUUCCUUCUCUCCAGUCUUAUGGUAAUACACAAUUAAACCAUAAAUUCUACUGCAGAAUUGAAAGAAUCCUCUAGAUCCUCUUGAUGAAAACUUGCUGUGACAUUAACUUACCAGAGUUAUUUCAGAGAUGUUUUUGAGUCAUUUCUCUUAAACAGAAAAUAGAGCCAACAAAAAAUAAAAGCCCUUAAUGAAUGUCACCUUUUUUCAUUUCUCGCUUUGCAAUUUAAGUAUUUUAGUGAAUUCCAGAGGAUAUAAAAUACUGAUUUACUGCUGUUACAGUUGCAAGGAAUGGACUAAUUUAGCAACAUAGAAGUCAGGUUUCUACUUAAAAAUACUUUUCUGCUCUUCUUCUUUAGUCAAUAAAGCUUUCUGCAACAGGCUAGUUUUUCCAAAACAAGUGUUUCAGAUGGAUUACCCUCUUCAGAUGCCAAAUUCUCCUGGAUGGCUGCCUGGAUAACUAUUUUAAUUAAAGUGUGAACAAAGUACCACUACCAUGCCACUACUCACUUUUUGAUUUAUGGAGUAAGCAGUACACUUGUGUGUCACUUAAAAUUUCAGUAAAAUACCUUGCUAAAUAAAAACACAGCUUAUGCAAGUUGGGAUCCUUGUAGACUAAUGACUACUCGGUGCAAUCUAAGAAAAGCAAGUCAUCCAUAUUAUAGGAGUUGCCUAUGAACAGCCAAUAAGGUAAAUUACUUGUUAGAUGUUUUUCUUUGUUUCAAAAAAAGGGUUGGUUAAGCUGAUUCUUAAACAGAUAAAAAUGUAACAUCAACCAAUGAUAAUAAAAUACAUGAACUUCUGAGCAACCAAUUAUCUAUACUGUACAUUAAUAUACUUUCUAAUACGUCAGUGUUGAAUUGUUGCUCACCUUCAUAUAAGGAAAAAAUUGCUCCAUUGUGCCAUGACUUUAAUGUUAUCUCAAAAUACUUAUUGUUAAGUAUGUGUGAAAAGCUAUAACUCACAGAAUCUGUAUCAGCAGCAAAAUAAACCCAACAUAAAUAGCUCCUGAUAAAUUUUGAACUUACUGCACUUCAAAUACAUCCUUUGUAUUCUGUUUGCUUGCUACUUGCCUUGACUUGAAGCCUACAUUUAUAAAAGUGAUCUUGUUUCUUCCUCUUUUUUGAAGUUCUGUAACUGUCUGUCUUGAAUGGAAUUCAUCUUGACCACAGCCUCAAGUGACUUUCAUAAAACUGACCAUUCUUUGCAAGGGAAACCAUAAAUAUAACUUCUGAGUUUGUGCUGGAAAUAGCUCAGGAGAACAAAAUAUGGUGCAAAAGCCAUUGAACAGCACCCAGAAAUAAUGAGUCCAAAUGGAUUUUGUCUUCAAACCAUACUUGAUUCAUAUUUCUGCAACCCUGGCUUUCAAAGGACAGCCUGAACACUAAUUAAGUGUUGCUGGUAAAGCAGAGCUGAAAUAAUUCAAUGGAUCAGACCGACCUACCGGGGAUAUUUAUAAUGAAUAUCGCUGAUAAUCUCCAGACCUAAGACUUCCUGGGAUACAAGAGUGUCCCUCAUUCUUAAAAAACAAACCAAAAUCUCUCACCAGGUUCCUGCUCAGUACGCCCUGGAGUCAGCAGAAGUGGCUGUAAGAGUUUUCUACUUAAGGAAGAUUAUUUUCAGUAAUGAAUGUUUAA